rnacentral:rRNA from 1 species
CUACGUGCCAGCAGCCGCGGUAAUACGGAAGGUCCGGGCGUUAUCCGGAAUUAUUGGGUUUAAAGGGAGCGCAGGCGGGAGUAUAAGUCAGCUGUUAAAUAUCAGAGCCCAACUCUGUUAUGCAGUUGAAACUAUAUUUCUUGAGUACGCACAGGGAUGGCGGAAUUCAGGGUGUAGCGGUGAAAUGCUUAGAUAUCCUGAAGAACUCCGAUCGCGAAGGCAGCCAUCCGGAGCGUAACUGACGCUGAGGCUCGAAGGUGCGGGUAUCGAACAGGAUUAGAUACCCUGGUAGUCCGCACGGUAAACGAUGAAUACUCGCAGUUCGGCCGUUUAGGUCGAGUUGUCCAGCGAAAGCGUUAAGUAUUCCACCUGGGGAGUACGCCGGCAACGGUGAAACUCAAAGGAAUUGACGGGGGCCCGCACAAGCGGAGGAACAUGUGGUUUAAUUCGAUGAUACGCGAGGAACCUUACCCGGGCUUGAAC